rnacentral:lncRNA from 1 species
CAGGGGUGGCAACCCACUCGGUCCUGUUCCACAUUGUGGAAGCUUUGUUCUUUUGCCAUUUGCAAUAAAUCUUGCUGCUGCUCACUCUUUGGGUCCACACUGCCUUUAUGAGCUGUAACACUCACCACGAAGGUCUGCAGCUUCACUCAUGAAGCCAGCGAGACCAUGAACCCACUGGGAGGAACGAAGAACUCCAGACGCACCGCCUUAAGAGCUGUAACACUCACUACGAAGGUCUGCAGCUUCACUCCUGAUCCAGCGAGACCACGAACCCACCAGAAGGAAGAAACUCCGAACAUAUCUGGACGUCAGACGGAACAAACUCCGGACACGCUGCCUUUAAGAACUGUAACACUCACCGCGAGGGUCUGCAGCUUCGUUCUUGAAGUCAGUGAGACCAAGAACCCACCAAUUACGAACACAGGACGACUCUAUUGGAUCUGGAAAUAAAUCACUUCAUGUGGUAUUGUUUCAUCUUUAUUGGUUCUUCUUUUUCACAAAUUUAUAGAAGUACCAACACUUAAGGGUGAAGAAAAAUAUAAAGUCACAUAUGACUCCUGGCAUAAUGAUUUGCCUUUUGGAUCAGGACUCGAACAUCAAUACCUUAUCAACGCCGCUCUCUGCUGGCGUCCCUGGCUCUUCAUUGACCUUGUCUUCCUUUUGUGCCUGAAAUGCUUUCAUGAUGGACUGGAUCUUCUCUCACCCCUGAGCACUCUGCCUUUUAUCCUGAAAUCCAUGCCGUUAGCCAUUUUUUCCACUCCCUUAGCUCAAGACCUGUCUUUUUGUAUCCUGUUUGGCUUUCUCGCUAUUCCUUGAUUUCUUUUCACUCCUCUGUAUUCAUGCUGACCUUUUUUUUUUUUUCUUGCUUAUUUAUUGCUUGAUGGCAUUCAUCACCUCUGGGUAUAGAAUCAUUUAUCCACUAUGUCUCCUUUCUUCCCGCUUGAACUUCACUCAAUGUUACCUUUAUUUCCCCCUGAUUCUACUCUGCUGUAAUCUGACUUUCCAUUAUUAUUCUUAUCAGCAGUCUGUUAUUUAUAGAGCGGAGAAAUAAGAUAAGCUCCUUCUAAUAUAGAUGGGGCACAGGCAAUGUAGCUGGGAAUAAGAAAUGUAAAAAGGAAGGCAGAGCUGCAAAAAGCAGAGCUCCAGGGGCAUUGCUGAUGGCUGGAUGAAAAGGGAACUGCAGAAAGGAUUUAGGGUAGAAAAGUGAGAUAGCAUUGGGAGAUAUGCCUAAUGCUAGAUGAUGAGUUAGUGGGUGCAGUGCACCAGCAUGGCACAUGGAUACAUAUGUAACUAACCUGCACAAUGUGCACAUGUACCCUAAAACUUAAAGUAUAAUAAAAAAAAAAAAAAAGAAAA